GACAGUUCUCGGGUGAUGUACCCUGGAAUCGGGCUCCCUCCUCUCUGGUUCCAGGUGUGUCACCUGAGAACUUA
rfam:Myotis davidii contig31754, whole genome shotgun sequence.